rnacentral:rRNA from 1 species
UACGAAGGGGGCUAGCGUUGCUCGGAAUCACUGGGCGUAAAGCGCACGUAGGCGGACUCUUAAGUCAGGGGUGAAAUCCCAGAGCUCAACUCUGGAACUGCCUUUGAUACUGGGUAUCUCGAGUCCGAGAGAGGUGAGUGGAAUUCCGAGUGUAGAGGUGAAAUUCGUAGAUAUUCGGAGGAACACCAGUGGCGAAGGCGGCUCACUGGCUCGGUACUGACGCUGAGGUGCGAAAGCGUGGGGAGCAAACAGG